rnacentral:rRNA from 1 species
GUAGGUGGCAAGCGUUGUCCGGAUUUAUUGGGUUUAAAGGGUGCGUAGGCGGUUCUAUAAGUCAGUGGUGAAAUCCGGCAGCUCAACUGUCGAUGUGCCAUUGAUACUGCAGAACUUGAGUACAGACGAGGUAGGCGGAAUUGACGGUGUAGCGGUGAAAUGCUUAGAUAUCGUCAAGAACACCGAUAGCGAAGGCAGCUUACUAGACUGUAACUGACGCUGAUGCACGAAAGUGUGGGGAUCAAACAGGAUUAGAUACCCUGGUAGUCCACACUGUAAACGAUGAUUACUCGAUGUUGGCGAUACACAGCCAGCGUCUUAGCGAAAGCGAUAAGUAAUCCACCUGGGGAGUACGCCGGCAACGGUG